UUAAUUUAACAGAAAAAAAAUUUAACUUUUAAUAUUAAAAAAGUAAUUUUUAGUUUUAGUAUUAAGUCUUAAAUAAUAAUCAUUUAUAUAUUAUUUCUUUAAAGAUAUAAAUCUAAAUUAAAAAAGUUAAUUAUUUAUUGUACCUUUUGUAUCAGGGAAAAUUAAAUUAAAAAAACUAUUUUUAUUCUCGAAUAAAAUAGAAAUAAAUAAAAAUAAAUAAGUUUUUAUUUCAAAAAAAUUUUAAAUUUUUAUUUAGUGAUUAAAUGUUUUCAAUAUUUUUUUAUCUAGUUAAUUUAUAUAUUAAUUUAAUUAAUCUUAUAAUUUAAUUAAUUAUUCUAAAUUAUUAAAUAUAAGAAUACAUUUUUUUGGUUAAGCAAAAAAAUUUUUAUUAAUUUAAAAUAAUUUAUAUGAAAUAUUUAUAUUAAUAAAUUUUAAAAUAUUAUUUAAUUUUUAAGUUAUAAAUUAAUUUAAACAACUAAAACAAUAAAAAAAAAAUGAUUUUAUAAGUAAUUUAUUUAUUUUCUUUUUAAGAACUAGGCAAAAUUUUUAAUCAAAUGUUUAACAAAAACAUCUUUUAUUUUUAUUUAUAAUAAAUUUAGCCUGCCCGGUGAUAAAUACUAUUUAACGGUUAUAUAAUAAUACUAAGGUAGCGUAAUAAUUUGUCAUCUAAUUAAUGAAUAAAAUGAAGGUUUAAUGAAUUAAAAACUGUUUUUAAAAAAAAAAACUAAUUUAAUAAUUAAGUGAAAAAUCUUAAAUAUUUUUAAAAGACGAUAAGACCCUAUAGAACUUAUUUUUAUUUUAAAUUUACUGGGGAAGUAAAAAUAUAAAUAAAACUAUUUUAAAAUAAAAAUCCAAGAAGAUUAACCAAAAUUUUUGAUUAAAAAGUUACCUUAGGGAUAACAGCAUUAAUUAUAUAAAAAGUUCUUAUUUUAAUAUUUAUUAAUGACCUCGAUGUUGAAUUAAAAUAAACUAAUAAAGCAAAAAUUUUAUUAUGUUUGGUCUGUUCGACCUUUAAUAUUUUACAUGAUUUGAGUUCAAACCGACGUGAGUUAGGUUGGUUUCUAUCUUUAAUUUAUAAAAUUUUAUUAGUACGAAAGGACCAUAAAGUAAAUUUAAAUAUUUUAAACCUAUUUAAUAUUAAAUUAAUGAAUUUAAAGUUCA
rnacentral:rRNA from 1 species